AGUGAACGCUGGCGGUAGGCCUAACACAUGCAAGUCGAACGGCAGCACAGUAAGAGCUUGCUCUUACGGGUGGCGAGUGGCGGACGGGUGAGGAAUACAUCGGAAUCUACUUUUUCGUGGGGGAUAACGCAGGGAAACUUACGCUAAUACCGCGUACGACCUACGGGUGAAAGCAGGGGAUCUUCGGACCUUGCGCGAUUGAAUGAGCCGAUGUCGGAUUAGCUAGUUGGCGGGGUAAAGGCCCACCAAGGCGACGAUCCGUAGCUGGUCUGAGAGGAUGAUCAGCCACACUGGAACUGAGACACGGUCCAGACUCCUACGGGAGGCAGCAGUGGGGAAUAUUGGACAAUGGGCGCAAGCCUGAUCCAGCCAUACCGCGUGGGUGAAGAAGGCCUUCGGGUUGUAAAGCCCUUUUGUUGGGAAAGAAAAGCAGCAGGUUAAUACCCCGCUGUUCUGACGGUACCCAAAGAAUAAGCACCGGCUAACUUCGUG
rnacentral:rRNA from 1 species